AAGUGCACAGGAAGCUGUGAGGGAGCAUGGCCAGGACAGCUGACCUGAACUGGCCAAAGGGAUAUUCCAUACCAUGAAAUGUCAUGCUGAGGACGUGGGGAGGGUCCCAGGAGCUGCCAGUGACAGCUCAGGAUGGGCUGGGCAUUGGUCAGCAGCUGAAACAGAGCAAUGAAUUGAAAGAGCAAGUUGCUCAUCUUCAUUUUUUAGUGGUGCCCUUUAGGUAUUGGAAGGCUGACAUAAGAUGUCCUUGAAGCCUCCUCUUCUCCAGGCUGAACAGCCCCAGCUCUUAGCCUGUCAUCUUAAGAGAGCUAGUGCUUAGGAAUACCAUACCUACAAGUCUUCAGAACCAAACAAAGCCACUUGGCAUUCAGAACUUUCUAGUUCAGGGUGUAAUUAAAUUGCACAAUAAACAAAAAGAACAUUAAAUGGUCUCUGAUAUCAUAACUACUAUUCAAUGAGAAAUAUUCACAUUCUGGGAAAGCUCAUUUUUCAAAUACUGCCUCUGUCUUGAAUAGGAUAUUGAAUUGAAACCUCAUUACAUUGGACCAUAACUCUAUCCAAUUGUAGCACUUUGUUUCCAUGAUUUCAGAGCACUUCAUUUA